CCAAAACAAGGAAAAUAUAAAGAUGCAUUCUGUAACUUUAUGGUGCCCAUUAAGAAAUUCCCGUACUAUUAAGAAUCAUCAAAUAAAAUAACUGAUGACUUUCAAUUUCUCAAAGUAACAUUGGAAAAUAUGAAAUAUAGGUUAGCAAAAAAGUCAAAAAAAAAUGUCCAUGGAAACAAGAUAAUUAAUGUAUCAGCAAUCAGCUUUUAUUGCUGUUCUUCAUCUUGACAGACACUGGGAUGUUUACAAUAAAAAAACAAGAGUCAACACCUUACAUUAAGGUCAAAGUGGUCAUUCCUGUCAUAUUUGACACUGCUUGAUAUUCAUCAAUUACUGCUACAUGUCUUCAAAUAUGGGUUUAAUCAAUGAAUUGUAAAAAUAACUGAUGAAAACUGGUGAAAUCUUACUUCUUAUUUUUUCCUACUUGGUCCCACAAAAGAAUUUGUAAAACAAUUAUUGAUGAAGCCUAGGAAGGUGUAUCUACAAAUACCAUUGAGUGCAGCAUGAAAAUAAAUCUGACUUUUAUCACAACAAAACCCCAACAAUCUUGGGGAAUCAUCAACACCAUUUGUGGAAGAACUUGGAAAAGACAAAGCAAAGAUUAUCAAGCCAAUCAGCUGUGAAUGCAUGUCUAGUACUGUACUAUUGUGCUGGUCAGCUGUGAAUGCAUGUUUAGUACUGUACUUGUGUACUGGUCAGCUGUGAAUGCAUGUCUAGUACUGUACUUGUGUGCUGGUCAGCUGUGAAUGCAUGUCUAGUACUGUACUUGUGUGCUGGUCAGCUGUGAAUGCAUGUCUAGUACUGUACUUGUGUGCUGGUCAGCUGUAAAUGCAUGUCUAGUACUGUACUUGUGUGCUGGUCAGCUGUGAAUGCAUGUCUAGUACUGUACUUGUGUGCUGGUCAGCUGUGAAUGCAUGUCUAAUACUGUACUUGUGUGCUGGUCAGCUGUGAAUGCAUGUCUAAUACUGUACUUGUGUGCUGGUCAGCUGUGAAUGCAUGUCUAAUACUGUACUUGUGUGCUGGUAAAUCUGGUUUAACCACACCAUAUUUUGUGUCAUACAAAGUCAGGUUGUUGGAGCAUGUGUUGUUUGGGUUUUUUUUUCAGAGGAGAGUUAGGUGUUGGUAGUUUGUUUUUUUCAGAGGAGAGUUAGGUGUUGGUAGUUUGUUUUUUCAGAGGAGAGUUAGGUGUUGGUAGUUUGUUUUUUCAGAGGAGAGUUAGGUGUUGGUAGUUUGUUUUUUCAGAGGAGAGUAAGGUGUUGGUAGUUUGUUUUUUCAGAGGAGAGUAAGGUGUUGGUAGUUUGUUUUUUUCAGAGGAGAGUUAGGUGUUGGUAGUUUGUUUUUUCAGAGGAGAGUAAGGUGUUGGUAGUUUGUUUUUUUCAGAGGAGAGUUAGGUGUUGGUAGUUUGUUUUUUUCAGAGGAGAGUUAGGUGUUGGUAGUGUUUGUUUUUUCAGAGAAGAGUUAGGUGUUGGUAGUUUGUUUUUUCAGAGAGGAGAGUUAGGUGUUGGUAGUUUGUUUUUUUCAGAGGAGAGUUAGGUGUUUGUAGUUUGUUUUUUCAGAGGAGAGUUAGGUGUUGGUAGUUUGUUUUUUUCAGAGGAGAGUUAGGUGUUUGUAGUUUGUUUUUUCAGAGGAGAGUUAGGUGUUGGUAGUUUGUUUUUUUCAGAGGAGAGUUAGGUGUUUGUAGUUUGUUUUUUCAGAGGAGAGUUAGGUGUUGGUAGUUUGUUUUUUUCAGAGGAGAGUUAGGUGUUUGUAGUUUGUUUUUUCAGAGGAGAGUUAGGUGUUGGUAGUUUGUUUUUUUCAGAGGAGAGUUAGGUGUUUGUAGUUUGUUUUUUCAGAGGAGAGUUAGGUGUUUGUAGUUUGUUUUUUCAGAGGAGAGUUAGGUGUUGGUAGUUUGUUUUUUCAGAGGAGAGUUAGGUGUUUGUAGUUUGUUUUUUCAGAGGAGAGUUGGGUGUUUGUAGUUUGUUUUUUCAGAGGAGAGUUGGGUGUUGGUAGUUUGUUUUUUCAGAGAAGAGUUAGGUGUUGGUAGGUCAGUUGUAUUGUAAAGAUAUUUUUCAUAACUCCUGUUAUCAUUUUUAUAUAUUAGACAGUUGAUUGACACUUAAAAUUUCUUACAGCAAUGUGGUCACAGACUCAAAUGGCCUAGUUGCAAUAUUCAUGAUUUGAAAUUUAAAAGGCCAUAUUUUUAAAAAUAGUAGCAUCUAUAUGUAUUUAAAUGCUAGUAAGGAAAGAUGAUAUUGACUGAUUUCUACAAAUACAAAAAUUUAGGAAAUAUCCAAGGAGAUCUUUGCUAAAAGACAAGAAUUUACAAGAUGUUUCAUCAUCUGGAAAAUAUGCAAGAUUUAUCCAAAAGUGCACACAUAGAGAGGUGAGAAUUUUUAAUGUAUAAAUAAACAUUUUAGAAAGUUUGAAAACUUAACAUAAGCAACUAUAAGUGUUUCACAAAACAAGUAUCCUCUAUGAAAAUUUCCCCAAAAAUUGACCUAGUUUGACCACCUGAGACAAAUAUGUCAAGGAAAUUUUAAGGCAUUGGAUUUAAAACUGUGAGAUGAGUUUAGUAAACAAAAUGUUUCAAACAGUAAGAAGGCUCCAGGUUGGAAAUUGUAGGAGGAAUUGAUUAUGCAAAACUGGUAUUUUCCUUUGAGAAUGUUGCUAUGAGAAUGCUGCUAUCAAUUAAAUGUUUCACCACCAGAAAAUCUUUGUAAUUAUGCAAAUGUGCAUCUAAAAUAAGUGCACAUUCUAAAUUUAUACACAAACAUUCCAGGUUGAAAAGUGCAGAAGUUGAUUCACAAAACAGGCUUCUUCUUUUUUAUAUAAUAUUAUACUGUAUUGUGUCAUUACACUUCUAGGAGCACAGACAAACUUGCACAUGGCAAAUGAUUUUUUCACUGGCUUACAAAUGCUCAGUAUUUGAACUUAGAAGAAUGAAAAAAAUUCAAUGAAUUUUUUUUUUGUGAUACACUGCAAUAAAAGUUGGAUUAUCUCCCUUACACCAUAUAUCUGUAGUAAAAAUAUCAAUGUAUAAUAUACAUUGAACAUUUCUAGAAUUUCAUAUAUUUUGCCAUGUAUCAACAUAUUUUCUAUCAAACAGUCUUAAAUGAAAAUUAUGCCAGAUGCAUUUAUAAAUUUGGACAAUUUCUACCACCAGAUUUUAAUUUUAUAAAAAGUUGGACUACCUCCCCCUCUCCUCAAAUUUUGCUAAGCAAUAGAACUUUUUAUUUAUCAUUUUGGGUGUAUGUGAGUCUAAGCAUAGGGGAAACAAAGCAUAGUAUAAUGAAAGCUAACCAGAUAAAAACAACAUGAACUAUGAAACUGAGAAUAUAUAUCCUUAACCAUCACAGGACACUUGACUUAAUCACUUUGUUCUUUAUUCCAUAUAGUUCAUUUAUAAUUCCAUCUUUAUUCAAACAUAGCAAUGUCACUUUUUUAUUAA